GGAAACUGUCAGACUUGAGUGCAGAAGAGGACAGUGGAACUCCAUGUGUAGCGGUGGAAUGCGUAGAUAUAUGGAAGAACACCAGUGGCGAAGGCGGCUGUCUGGUCUGCAACUGACGCUGAGGCUCGAAAGCAUGGGUAGCGAACAGGAUUAGAUACCCUGGUAGUCCAUGCCGUAAACGAUGAGUGCUAGGUGUUGGAGGGUUUCCGCCCUUCAGUGCCGCAGCUAACGCAUUAAGCACUCCGCCUGGGGAGUACGACCGCAAGGUUGAAACUCAAAGGAAUUGACGGGGGCCCGCACAAGCGGUGGAGCAUGUGGUUUAAUUCGAAGCUACGCGAAGAACCUUACCAGGUCUUGACAUCUUGCGCCAACCCUAGAGAUAGGGCGUUUCCUUCGGGAACGCAAUGACAGGUGGUGCAUGGUCGUCGUCAGCUCGUGUCGUGAGAUGUUGGGUUAAGUCCCGCAACGAGCGCAACCCUUGUUACUAGUUGCCAGCAUUCAGUUGGGCACUCUAGUGAGACUGCCGGUGACAAACCGGAGGAAGGUGGGGACGACGUCAGAUCAUCAUGCCCCUUAUGACCUGGGCUACACACGUGCUACAAUGGACGGUACAACGAGUCGCGAACUCGCGAGGGCAAGCUAAUCUCUUAAAACCGUUCUCAGUUCGGACUGCAGGCUGCAACUCGCCUGCACGAAGUCGGAAUCGCUAGUAAUCGCGGAUCAGCAUGCCGCGGUGAAUACGUUCCCGGGCCUUGUACACACCGCCCGUCACACCAUGAGAGUUUGCAACACCCAAAGUCGGUGGGGUAACCCUUCGGGGAGCUAGCCGC
rnacentral:rRNA from 2 species